UACGUAGGGCGCAAGCGUUGUCCGGAAUUAUUGGGCGUAAAGAGCUCGUAGGCGGCUUGUCACGUCGGGUGUGAAAGCCCGGGGCUUAACCCCGGGUCUGCAUUCGAUACGGGCUAGCUAGAGUAUGGUAGGGGAGAUCGGAAUUCCUGGUGUAGCGGUGAAAUGCGCAGAUAUCAGGAGGAACACCGGUGGCGAAGGCGGAUCUCUGGGCCAUUACUGACGCUGAGGAGCGAAAGCGUGGGGAGCGAACAGG
rnacentral:rRNA from 1 species